rnacentral:rRNA from 1 species
AAUGAACGCUGGCGGCGUGCUUAACACAUGCAAGUCGUACGAGAAACCCCGGCUUGCCGGGGGAGUAAAGUGGCGCACGGGUGAGUAACGCGUGGGUAAUCUACCCUCGAAUUGGGGAUAACACACCGAAAGGUGUGCUAAUACCGAAUAAGACCACGACCUCCACGGGGGUUGCGGUCAAAGAUGGCCUCUGCUUGCAAGCUGUCGUUUGAGGAUGAGCACGCGUACCAUUAGCUUGUUGGUGGGGUAAUGGCCUACCAAGGCAACGAUGGUUAGCUGGUCUGGGAGGAUGGCCAGCCAAACUGGAACUGGAACACGUUCCAGACUCCUGCGGGAGGCAGCAGUGAGGAAUUUUGCGCAAUGGGGGAAACCCUGACGCAGCAACGCCGCGUGAGUGAAGAAGGCCUUCGGGUUGUAAAGCUCUGUCAAGUGGGAAGAACCUUUUUCGGCCGAAUACGCCGAGAAACUGACGGUACCGCUGAAGGAAGCACCGGCUAACUCCGUGCCAGCCGCCGCCGUAA